rnacentral:rRNA from 2 species
AAAGGUGAAACCUAAUUGGCCUGGAGAAGAGCUUGCGUCUGAUUAGCUAGUUGGUGGGGUAAAGGCCUACCAAGGCGACGAUCAGUAGCUGGUCUGAGAGGAUGAGCAGCCACACUGGGACUGAGACACGGCCCAGACUCCUACGGGAGGCAGCAGUGGGGAAUUUUCCGCAAUGGGCGAAAGCCUGACGGAGCAACGCCGCGUGAGGGAGGAAGGUCUUUGGAUUGUAAACCUCUUUUCUCAAGGAAGAAGUUCUGACGGUACUUGAGGAAUCAGCCUCGGCUAACUCCGUGCCAGCAGCCGCGGUAAUACGGGGGAGGCAAGCGUUAUCCGGAAUUAUUGGGCGUAAAGCGUCCGCAGGUGGUCAGCCAAGUCUGCC